UUUCAUUCUAAUGGUGAGGACAAAACCCCUAAAAUGAACAAGGUAUUUUUGGACCCUAGACCGUAUCAGAAGGAACACUAACUAGGCUGAUGCGGUGAGAGGCCAGAGGAGGCCCCUGUGGUAGCUGAGCUGAGAGCUGAACAGGAAUCAGCAACUAGGAGAAUGCAGACAGAAGGUUCUGGCCAGAGGGCACAAGAAGGGCCGGCCUGAAGAACAGGAAAGCACAGUUCCAUCUGUUGGGGGUGAGGGGAGAAAAUCACGGACAACACUUCAAAAUCAUGCUAACCAGUGGCACAGAGCUGCAACCUAGAAGUCAGUGUGCUGGUCUGUUUCUGUAGACACUGAAGAAGAGGCAUAUGCUGCUGUGGCUGCCGGCUCAAUGCUAUUUGUGACCUUUGGUUUACAUGAUGGUCUGAACUUGGUUUAGAGAUAAUAAACAAACAAAACAUCCGAUUUCUGUGACAUUCUUGCUUAUUACCCUGAUUCCAAUAGAUAUUUCUAUGAGCCCAGCCAAACAAUAACCUAUUUUCUAAAGACUAUGUUUGGAAAAAGAAAACAUUUUC
rnacentral:lncRNA from 1 species